UCAUUUCUUUGUUUUCUAGUUGUUUAUAGGACUUGAUAUCAUCAUUGUCCUUGUCUUUAGCAAUUGAAGCAAAUGUAAAACUUUGCUUUUUGGUGGAUAAAUAUGCCUGCAAUUGUCCAUAUAACGGAUGGUCUUCUGGGAUAUAUUCUAGAAGAAUUGAAGGAGAUGAAGAAGAUUCGCCUUUCUGCGAUACUUUAGAGUUUAUGAAACUCUUAUUUCCCAUUUUUAUAACUAGGGCGUUAGAUGAGGAUCCGUAUGAUGAUCCUUGAGAAAAUGAUCUACCUGGAGAUGAUCUUCCCCCGGAGGAUGAUCUUCCUCUUAAUCUGCCUUUUCCUUUUGCUCCAACCAUUUUCCAUGGAGGAUUAUCCAUACUGGAAAUGGAACGAUUAUUCAAAUAUAUCAAAUCCAUGCAAAUCAAAAUUCAACUAAUUUGGCAUUCAUUUGACAAGGUCGUGAUUUGGUCGGGAUAUCAUCCUCAAAAAAGUUAUCUCCAUAUGGAAGAGUGACAAUGUGAUUUUUUGGAUUCCCAAAAGCACUAAGGAUCAAUACUGGGCACCUCCAAACUUGAAAAGGCUACUGUCAGGUAAACUGAAGUAUUUAACUACAACAGGGAA